UUGCAUAAUAUCUAAUUUCUCCUUUAGCUGACCACAGAUGAAAACAAUCUAUAAUGGCAGUGCUGGGUUUUAUAAAAAACGCAAGUGAGGAGUUGAAGGAUGUGGCUUGUUCUGUUUGGAUGAUGCAGGAUUGCUUUAAGCAGUAAGCUUACUGUUUUCAGAUGGCAUUAGCAGCAUCAGUGAUAUAGCUGUGUCAGCCUCCUUGUCUACUGGAUGUCUGUAACUGCACGGAGGAAACUAUAUUUAAGAUCUGAUAUCUGGAGGGUAAUGACUCCUGCACUUACUGAUGGACAGAAUGGCUGUUAGUGCUUUCUUCGCUAGCCCAGAAGAUUCUGAGAGAUAGAUGAAUCUGUGAUGCACUUCUGUAAGACAGGAGAUGCAAUUUUUGGGGGUCUCUGGAAAUAGAAAGGUCAUGCAGCUUGGAACCGGUGAGACAUUACAAUCUUUAAGUCAUCAGAGAAAUGAUGAAGAAGCUGUUGUGGAUAGAGGAGGAACUCGGUCCAUUCUCAAAACUCAUUUUGAAAAGGAAGAUCUAGAAGGUCAUCGAACAUUGUUCAUUGGCGUUCACGUGCCACUGGGUGGAAGAAAAAGUCACAGGCGCCAUAGGCACCGUGGACAUAAACACAGAAAAAGAGACAGAGAACGAGAUUCAGGAUUAGAAGAUGGGAGAGAAUCUCCUCCAUUUGAUACUCCAUCACAAAGAGUGCAGUUUAUUCUUGGAACAGAUGAUGAUGAGGAACACAUUCCUCAUGAUCUUUUUACUGAGCUUGAUGAGAUUUGUUGGCGUGAAGGAGAGGAUGCUGAGUGGAGGGAGACAGCAAGGUGGUUGAAGUUUGAAGAAGAUGUAGAAGAUGGCGGGGAGAGGUGGAGCAAACCAUAUGUUGCCACACUGUCACUUCAUAGCUUGUUUGAGCUGAGAAGCUGUAUCCUGAAUGGCACUGUUUUGUUGGACAUGAGAGCUAACUCCAUAGAAGAAAUUGCAGAUAUGAUUCUGGACCAGCAGGUGGGCUCUGGGCAGCUCAGUGAGGAUGUUCGUCAUAGAGUACAUGAGGCAUUACUGAAACAGCAUCACCAUCAGAACCAGAAGAAACUGAGCAAUAGGAUCCCAAUUGUGAGAUCCUUUGCUGAUAUAGGAAAGAAGCAAUCUGAGCCACAUUCCAUGGAUAAAAAUGCAGGUCAGAUUGUUUCCCCACAAUCUGCUCCAGCCUGUGUUGAGAACAAAAAUGAUGUGAGCAGAGAAAAUAGCACUGUUGACUUUAGCAAGGUUGACUUACAUUUCAUGAAAAAGAUACCACCUGGAGCUGAAGCAUCAAACAUCUUAGUUGGUGAGCUGGAAUUCCUGGACCGUGCAGUUGUUGCUUUUGUUAGGUUAUCGCCUGCAGUGCUGCUUACAGGACUAGCUGAAGUUCCGAUUCCAACUAGAUUUUUGUUUAUUCUUCUUGGGCCAUUGGGUAAAGGGCAACAAUAUCAUGAGAUUGGAAGAUCAAUUGCAACACUGAUGACAGAUGAGGUGUUCCAUGACGUUGCUUACAAAGCAAAAGACCGCAAUGACUUGGUGUCUGGAAUUGAUGAGUUUCUUGAUCAGGUUACAGUUCUCCCUCCUGGAGAAUGGGAUCCAACAAUCCGAAUAGAACCACCUAAAAACGUUCCCUCUCAGGAAAAACGUAAGAUUCCAGGAGUACCAAAUGGGACUGCAGCUCAUGGGGAACCAGAACAUCCUGGAGGACACUCUGGACCAGAAUUGCAACGCACUGGAAAAUUUUUUGGUGGAUUGAUUUUAGAUAUAAAAAGAAAGGCUCCAUUCUUCUGGAGUGACUUCAGGGAUGCUCUCAGUCUACAGUGUCUGGCAUCAUUUUUGUUUCUCUACUGUGCUUGCAUGUCUCCUGUCAUCACAUUCGGUGGUCUACUGGGAGAAGCUACUGAAGGUCGUAUAAGUGCGAUAGAAUCAUUGUUUGGAGCAUCCAUGACUGGAAUUGCCUACUCUCUCUUUGGUGGACAGCCUCUCACUAUACUUGGCAGUACAGGACCAGUUCUAGUGUUUGAGAAGAUUUUAUUCAAAUUUUGCAAAGAGUAUGGGUUAUCAUACCUUUCCCUGAGAGCUAGCAUUGGUCUGUGGACUGCAAUCCUGUGCAUCAUCCUUGUUGCAACUGAUGCAAGCUCCCUGGUCUGUUACAUUACCCGGUUUACUGAAGAAGCUUUUGCUUCUCUUAUCUGCAUAAUUUUCAUUUAUGAGGCCUUAGAGAAGCUAUUUCAUCUCAGUGAGACAUAUCCAAUCAACAUGCAUAAUGAUUUGGACCUGCUGACUAAGUACUCAUGCAAUUGUGUGGAGCCAGAGCAUCCUAGCAAUAAAACCUUACGAUACUGGCAGGACUACAAUAUAUCUGCAUCUGAUGUGCCAUGGGGGAACCUAACUGUGUCAGAAUGUAAAAAGCUUCAUGGAGAAUUUGUUGGACGAGCCUGUGGUCACCAUGGUCCUUAUGUUCCAGAUGUCCUUUUCUGGUCUGUCAUCUUAUUUUUUUCUACAGUAACUCUGUCAUCCACACUGAAGCAGUUCAAAACUAGCCGAUACUUCCCAACAAAGGUACGAUCUGUUGUCAGCGAUUUCGCUGUCUUUCUUACUAUUUUGUCCAUGGUUUUAAUUGACUAUGCCAUUGGGAUCCCAUCACCAAAACUUCAAGUUCCAAACGCUUUUAAGCCCACCAGAGAUGAUCGUGGAUGGUUUAUUACUCCUUUGGGGCCUAAUCCUUGGUGGACAGUGAUAGCUGCUGUAAUUCCAGCUCUGCUUUGUACUAUCCUUAUUUUUAUGGACCAGCAGAUUACAGCUGUCAUUAUAAAUAGAAAAGAGCAUAAACUAAAGAAAGGGUGUGGAUACCAUCUUGACUUACUCAUGGUGGCCGUCAUGCUUGGAGUGUGUUCCAUUAUGGGAUUGCCGUGGUUUGUUGCAGCCACUGUCCUCUCUAUUUCUCAUGUGAACAGCUUAAAACUGGAAUCAGAGUGUUCUGCUCCAGGGGAACAGCCGAAAUUUCUUGGAAUCCGGGAGCAAAGAGUCACAGGGCUCAUGAUUUUUGUACUCAUGGGCUCAUCUGUCUUUUUGACAAGUAUUCUGAAGUUUAUCCCUAUGCCUGUACUUUACGGAGUAUUCCUUUACAUGGGUGCUUCAUCUCUAAAGGGGAUUCAGCUUUUUGACAGGAUAAAAUUAUUCUGGAUGCCUGCAAAGCAUCAGCCAGAUUUUAUUUAUCUGAGGCAUGUUCCUCUUAGAAAAGUCCAUCUCUUCACUGUAAUUCAGCUGAGUUGUCUUGUACUCCUAUGGAUUAUAAAGGUUUCAAGAGCUGCUAUUGUCUUUCCCAUGAUGGUCUUAGCUUUGGUGUUUGUCCGAAAACUCAUGGAUUUUUUUUUCACUAAACGGGAGCUCAGUUGGUUAGAUGAUUUGAUGCCUGAGAGCAAGAAAAAGAAACUAGAAGACGCUGAGAAAGAGGAAGAGCAAAGUAUGUUAGCGAUGGAAGAGGAAGGGACUGUUCAAUUGCCACUAGAAGGACAUUACAGAGAUGAUCCAUCUGUGAUAAACAUUUCUGAUGAGAUGGCAAAAACUGCUGUGUGGAAGACACUGUUGAUAUCCUCUGAGAAUGCAAAAGAUAAGGAGUCAAGCUUUCCUUCUAAAAGCUCCCCUUCCUAAUCAAUCUAGAAGCUGAUUUCCCCAAAGUUAAGGAAUUAUUCCCAUGAAAACUGUGCUGAAAUCAGACAAGAGAAGAAAGCUGACUCAGGGAAAGGUGUCGACCGAGAGACUUGUCUAUGACCUGUUCUAAAACUUUUUUUUUUUUUUUUUUUUUUUUUACAAAUGAAUGAAAGGAGUGCCACAGCCAAUAGAUAUAACUGAUUUGAUCUUGUAACUUUUGUCUUUCAUCUCAAACUAGCACAGGUAAUGUAGUGCAAUGUUUGUCUCAUUACUCUUUGUCUAAAUGUCUACAUUGUCUGCUAUCUGUGCAAAAGUCUGCAGUUGCCAAUGCCAAAAAUCUUCAUUUCCUUUGCUGGUAUUGACCAUUUAUCAGUAUUCAUAUCAUAAAAUUAACAAGCAGUUUCUUUCAAAUUCAACUUACCUGUUAAUAGGUUUGUACUGUAUUUUGCUACUUUUCCUGUGUGAGAAAACUUAAUCUUCACUCAUGGUGAACUUGAAACAGUUGUUCCAAUUUUUUUUUAAGUCAUUUUACUGGAGUGAUUUUAGGAGACCCAUCUUGACUAGUUGAGAUUAAAGUUGUUUUUAAAGUCAGAACUGAUCUGACCCUGUGAACAAACUCACAAGUAUAAUCCUUUUCUCCUCAAACUGUCAUUUUGAAGUCAUGGAUUACUCUUGCAAUGGAGAUUGCAGGGUCAGAUUCUGGAUUUGUGCAGUUUUUCUUGAUUUAUAAUACAGUGUAUUUAAUAUUCAAAUUUGUAUGUAACUGGAACAUAGUCAUAUAUAUUAUAUUUAUUAAAAAUAUCUAUUAUAAACAUUUCAUCACCUUAGUUGAAAAAUACCACCACAUCCUUUGAUGUGAAACAUUGGUACAGUAUUUGUAAAAAAAAAAAAAAAAAAAAAAAAAAAAAAAGCAAUCCAUGAUUACAGUAUCUUGUAUUGUAUGAAUGUCACUGUGGUAGGCCAAAUAACUGCAUUACAUCAUUACUGAAUUUAUUAUUUUUACAAUAGGAAAAAUUUUAUAGAUACAAACUAUAACCCUGUGCAUUUGCAACACCUGCCCAAUGAUUUUCCUCUUCUUUCCUAAAACGCAUCCACUUAAGUUGAUAUUUCUAUUGUUUUGUCUCUACUAACAAAAGUAGAACACUAAUUCCAGAGAUUGCAUGUACUUACUUAAAUGGGUAUGCUUCUAUCAGUUUUGUUACAGCCAUUUUAACUAUUCCAUAAAGUACAUCUUGAUAAAAAGAUUAAAAACUGCAUUGCAGAGUAAAAUGUGGCUUUAAAGCUCUUUACAAACACAUUUUUUCAUAACCAGUUUUCUUACUGCCUGAUCCUUCAGGCUGUUUUUUUUGUGUAAAACAAGGACUGUGAGAUUAGGUACUGAAUUAAUAGGCAACAUGGAACAAAAGUUUUAUGGAUUAUUUGCAAUUUACUACUUUUUAAUUUUUUUUAGGUAAAUUUUUAAAUGAUUAAAUGAAGACUAACUGUCACUACUGCUUUGAAUCCUAAGAAAGAGAAUUCACACUGUUGUGAUUAUUAUAGCAACUUAGUGACAGGGCUUUAACGUUCUCUAGCUUUCCAAGACAUGCUAACCUUCUCACAGCCUUCAAGUGAAUAAGUUUUCAUAUCCAGUACAUUUAAAGUAUUCCUUGUAAUGUUUUUGUGUGUGUGUAUUUACUUUCUACUACUUCAGCCAUAAACAACUGCAUUUUGCUGCAAACAAUUAGGGUUACUGUUCUAAGUUUUUCCUAGCAUUAUCAAAGCCCAAUUAAAGGCUAUUUUUAUGGGGGAAAAACAACUAAUGGACAUGAAGGAGGAUUUAUAUUUAAUUAAAUGUUUGUGUUUAUGAACUUAUGAAAAAAAAAAAGCCUAUACAUUAAGGUUAAAUGCUUUGUUUUGUGUACUCGAUGAUAAAUUGUAAGAUUUCAAUUGUUUUAAGGUUAGUAUAGAAGUUCAAAACUGGUUUGUCCUGAAAGCAGCCUGGUGGUGUUUUAAUAUGUUGCUGACAUUGUUACAGAUAAUAUAUACAAUCAAAAUGUAUUAGUUUCACUUGACCAACUCUUAGAAUAUUAAGAAAUCAGUGUAUUCGAUGGCAUUCUGUAUUUCUGUUCAGUAUUCCAGAGUGUUUUAUUUUUUUUUUUAAACAGUUACUCUAUUCUUGUGUGAAUUUAAAUGCUAUUCUGAUGUUAAACUCAACAUUCUGAAUCACACACAAUAUAAAGAAAAUGUAGUGCUAUAUUUACUUCUAAUUUCAUAUUCUUGCUCAAAAUUAUUUAAAUUCUUGGAUGUAAUUUAUUACAAGAGUUUAUGUGUACAUGUGAAUAGACUAUUGUGUUUUUCACAACUAAGAAAUGUUAUGUGAAAAUAAAUAUUUAUCCUAACUAAUUUUCAAUUCUUACUUUCACACCGCAAAACUCAGAAUAAGUAUGCAAUAUUAAAUGGCUGCCUAACAUUUGAAUAUGGAGCAGGACUGUGCUGUACAAUGCAGAAGCUUGGGAAGCACAUUAAAGUGCAACCUCAUUGAAACAUGUAAUACAGUCGGCAUUGGUUAGCUGCAUGCAGUUGUUGGUGAUAUACAUGGUCUGACUCUAACAAACAGUAUGUGCACCAUCAGGGAUGGCACAUUACUCACCUGUCCCAGGAAGAGUGGGAAUUAGAUUCUGAUUUAUUGAUCAUGAGUUGGUGGUUCUUGCUUUUGGGAGAAACACUCUGGAGCAGGCAGCAGUAAUUCAAACCUCCAGCCGUUCAACAGGUAAGUUCAUACAAUUUUAAAUACUGUAGCUUUGAGGAAUUUAAAGUGUCUAAUAGUUGAGCACUGGCUUGGCUACUCCCUCUUGUGGGAGUGUCUGCAAUUCUUACCACACGAGAAUUCUGCUUCUGAAAAAAUUUGUAGUCCUUGAGGUUCAGUACUACUGCAAAAACCCAAAUGUUUGAAGUAUUACCUCCAUCUUAUUAAAAUGCUCUGAGUUUCAACCAAGUUUUGAAUGUGAAGUGGAAGCUUUCCAGCCAGAGAAACCACUCUAACUUGCCCUUCAGGCUUCUGCUGCCUCUGAACAAUAAACUGUGUAAAGUACCAAUAAAGAACAUAAAUUCAUCGUUUUCAUGUAGGAAAAAAAAAAAAAAAUUAACUGGCCAAUAAGUGCCUAAAUCUAGCAACAUGGCAGAUUUUUGGCCACAAUUGGUUCAUAGUGCUCGCUUUAUACACUAACAGAAGAAACUGGCUUACCUGUGUGAUAUCAGUUUUAGGUGUUUUCCAGUAGUCAUGCAUUUUUAAGUGAAGUUGAAACCCUGUUUGUUGAUUCCCUGAGGCAACUUUAUCAUCUUAUUAACUGCCCGUAUCCUGCGUUGUUCUUGGGACUGGGGAGGAUCUACUGGUGAGAAGAAGCUGAUUUGAUGCCCAUUAGAACACCUCAAUUGAAAGAAUUGCAUAUAUGCAUAUAAACCUUUUAAAGUUACGUGGUGCUCCAAUAGCAGUAUAUCCUAGAAGUUGCUUUUCAAACCAAGAAUUCUAAUUGAUGGUAAUUAGCAUUGUACUUUCUUUUGCCUCACAAAUAAAGUUAGAACUACAUGUUCAGAUUCCAGAACAAUUUCCCAGUGAGACUCUAGCAUCAGUAAGGUAGGUCAGAUACAAAGAACAGUAUCAUAAUGACUUAUGAAGACUAUAUAACUUUUAGUUUCACUUAAAAAAAAAAAAAAAAAAAAAAAAAAAAAAGUACUGCUUCUCUGAUCUCUAAGGAAUCACUUGCAGCUCUUUAACUGCAAGUAAUAACUCACAGCUAACUUCCCCCCCUCCUUCUUUGUCUACCUGUUAAGUACUUUGUAUUUGCACCGGGUAUCACUUAUAACAUAGAAAUGUACCAUCACUUAUGGACAUCGAAUAUCAAGAAACUAAGUGUUAGCUAAUCACCUUCCAAUCCCGUACACUAAACAAAAACAGAAAUUUCACUGUAAGUCUCUCAUGGAAUUGAUGUACUUUUAUAACGUUCUAGGAGCAAAGUUCUUAAGCAGAAUUUUCAGCAAUACAGAAUAUACAACUUUUCAUAACUUAAUGACCAUUUAUUAAUUUAAGCAGCACAUUUUUCAGAAAAAAUGCAACCCUUUUGUACUAUUUAUGUGAAAUGAAGAGAAAGUCAUUCUUAUCUUCAGCUGGAGAAGCCUACCUGGAGUGCCAAAGAUAAAGCAGAAGUUUAAAGGGAGGCUACAAGGAAAAAGGCAGGUUUGCUAAAUACCUUGAUCAUGUGAGAGCUGCAGUCCAGUCCUUGCUUCAAGUGACAGCUAAGUUGCAUUGUAGCAUUUAUUUUGUUAGAUUGCAAGGAAUAUAUCUUACUUAUUGGAAAAUAGGAUUUUAUUUAUUAAAAAAAAAAAAAAAAAAAAAAAAAGAAAGAUUU